GAUCUAGGGGGCAUAUUGCUUACUGAAAUCAAUCAAACUCCGAAUACCAUAAUUUAUAGCUCAGGAGUGAGACUAUGGGAGUUAACUUCCAUUGUCAAAAGGGAAACAACCCAGACCACCAGCUAAGGUCCCUAAUUAUAACUAAGUGGGAAAGGAGGUGGAGAUUCACAAACAACUAGGAGGUUGGCUUAGAAGCAGCCAUACCUUUAAAGAGUGCGUAAUAGCUCACUAGUCGAGAGUCUCUGCGCCGACAAUGUAACGGGGCUAAGUUAUAAACCGAAGCUGUGGAAUCCAUUUGGAUUGGUAGGAGAGCGUUCUGUAGGCCGUUGAAGAAGAAGGGUAACCAACUUUGGAGGUAUCAGAAGUGAGAAUGCAGGAAUAAGUAGCGAGAAAGGGGGCGAGAAUCCCCCUCGCCGGAAGACCAAGGUUUUCAGGGUAAAGCUUGUCUUCCCUGAGUAAGCCGGGACCUAAGCCCAGGCUAUAAUGCGUAGGCGAAUGGAAAACAGAUUAAUAUUUCUGUGCCAGUCAUUUAUUGUGAUGGAGGGACGCAGAAGGGUAUGCACGCGGACGAUCGGUUGUGUCCGUAGAAGUAUGUAGGAUGAUUUAGUAGGUAAAUCCAUUAAGUUAUAUCUGAGGUAUUAUAUACAGUCGUAAGAUGAAUGUGCAAAUCCCACGCUGCCAAGAAAAGCUUCUAGCGUUAAUAUUUGACUGCCCGUACUGUAAACCGACACAGGUGGUCAGGAUGAGAAAUCUAAGGCGGACAGGCUAACUCUCGUUAAGGAACUCUGCAAAAUAACCUCGUAACUUCGGGAGAAGAGGAGCCCUUGUGUGUGAGUAUACAUGCGAUACAAAGCGCACGAGGGUCGCAGUGAAGAGGCUCAAGCAACUGUUUAACAAAAACACAGGUCUAUGCUAAGCUGUAAGGCGAUGUAUAUGGGCUGACACCUGCCCAGUGCUGGAAGGUUAAGAGGAGGAGUGAGAGCUCCGAAUUGAAGCCCCAGUGAACGGCGGCCGUAACUAUAACGGUCCUAAGGUAGCGAAAUUCCUUGUCGGGUAAGUUCCGACCUGCACGAAUGGUGUAAUGAUUUGAGCGCUGUCUUGACGGGAGGCCUGGUGAAAUUGUAUUACCGGUGAAGAUACCGGUUACCUACAGUAGGACGGAAAGACCCCAUGGAGCUUUACUGUAGCUUGGUAUUGGGUUUUGGCAUUGCAUGUAUAGGAUAGUUGGGAGACUAUGAAGGUAUGGCGCUAGCUGUAUCGGAGUCAUCGGUGGAAUACCAACCAUUCAAUGCUGAAAUUCUAAUCUGUGGUUUGAAGCCACGGAGACAGUGCUAGGUGGGCAGUUUGACUGGGGCGGUCGCCUCCGAAAGAGUAACGGAGGCGUUCAAAGGUUCUCUCAGGUUGGAUGGAAAUCAACCAUAGAGUGCAAUGGCAUAAGAGAGCUUGACUGCAAGACUGACGGGUCGAGCAGAUGCGAAAGCAGGACAUAGUGAUCCGGCGAUUCCGAAUGGAAGGGUCGUCGCUCAACGGAUAAAAGCUACCCUGGGGAUAACAGGCUGAUCCUACCCGAGAGUCCAUAUCGACGGUAGGGUUUGGCACCUCGAUGUCGGCUCAUCGCAUCCUGGGGCUGGAGAAGGUCCCAAGGGUUGGGCUGUUCGCCCAUUAAAGCGGUACGUGAGCUGGGUUCAGAACGUCGUGAGACAGUUCGGUCCCUAUCCACUGUAGGCGUUAGAAUAUUGAGAAAACCUGUCCUUAGUACGAGAGGACCGGGAUGGACAAACCUCUGAUGUACCAGUUGUCACGCCAGUGGCACAGCUGGGUAGUCACGUUUGGAAUAGAUAACCGCUGAAAGCAUCUAAGCGGGAAACUAACUUCAAGAUAAGUAUUCUUUAAGAUACCUUCGAGCCUAGGAGGUUGAUAGGUUGGGGGUGUAAGUACAGCAAUGUAUUUAGCUGACCAAUACUAAUUAUCGAAGUUUUAAUCUA
rnacentral:rRNA from 1 species